AAUUUGAUGCCCCUGUAAUUGUUGCAGCACUGGAUGUCCCCUUUGUUCUUGUACAGGGGCACCACUGUACUCCACCUCCACUCAUCCGGCAUCCUUAUAGUCCUGAAAAUCACAUUGAACAGCCUAGUGAGCCACUCCCUCCAGCUUUACCCAUGCACUUCCAGAAUUCCACCGGGAUCUCGUCAGGCCCGGUCGGUCGACCCCUGCUCAUCCUACGCAACGCCCCUAAGACCUCCUCUACCCUAAUGCGCCUGCAGUANNN
rnacentral:lncRNA from 1 species